rnacentral:rRNA from 1 species
UACGUAGGGUGCGAGCGUUGUCCGGAAUUAUUGGGCGUAAAGAGCUCGUAGGCGGCGUGUUAAGUCAGCUGUGAAAUCUCCAAGCUUAACUUGGAACGGUCAGCUGAUACUGAUGUGCUAGAGUGCAGAAGGGGCAAUCGGAAUUCUUGGUGUAGCGGUGAAAUGCGUAGAUAUCAAGAGGAACACCUGAGGUGAAGACGGGUUGCUGGGCUGACACUGACGCUGAGGCGCGAAAGCUAGGGUAGCAAACGGG